UACAGAGGUGGCAAGCGUUGUUCGGAAUUACUGGGCGUAAAGGGCGCGUAGGCGGCCAUCUAAGUCAGACGUGAAAUCCCCCGGCUUAACCUGGGAACUGCGUCUGAUACUGGACGGCUUGAGUAUGGGAGAGGGAUGUAGAAUUCCAGGUGUAGCGGUGAAAUGCGUAGAUAUCUGGAGGAAUACCGGUGGCGAAGGCGGCAUCCUGGACCAUUACUGACGCUGAGGCGCGGAAAGCUAGGGGA
rnacentral:rRNA from 1 species